rnacentral:rRNA from 1 species
GACGAACCGUGCGAACGUUAUUCGGAAUCACUGGGCUUAAAGCGCGUGUAGGCGGGACGGCGCGUCGGCCGCUGAAAUCCCCCGGCUCAACCGGGGAAGUGGCGCCGAUACGGCCGUCCUGGAGCGACGUAGGGGGGACUGGAACUUCCGGUGGAGCGGUGAAAUGCGUUGAGAUCGGAAGGAACGCCCGCGGCGAAAGCGAGUCCCUGGACGUCGGCUGACGCUGAGGAGCGAAAGUGUGGGGAGCGAACAGG